GAUGAACGCUGGCGGCGUGCUUAACACAUGCAAGUCGAACGAUAACGCCCUGCUUGCUUGGUGGUUUAGUUGCGAACUGGUGAGUGACACGUGAGUAACCUGCCCUCUACUCUUUGAUAAGCCUUAGCGACUGGGUAUAAUACCUGAUAGCGGCUUCCACCUCCUGGUGGGUGUUGGAAAGAUUUAUCGGUUUUGGAUGGACUUGCGGCCUAUCCGCUUGUUGGUGGGGGAAUGGCUCACCAAGGCGACGACGGGUAGCCGGCCCGAGAGGGUGACCGGCCACCAGAGGACUAAGAGACGGACCAGACGCCUACGGGAGGCAGCAGUGGCGAAUAUUGCACAAUGGGCGCAAGCCUGAUGAAGAGACGUCGGGUGAGGGAUGACGGCCUGCGGGUUGUAAACCGCUUUCGGUAGGGAAGCAGCGAUAGUGACGGUACCUGAAGAAGAAGCACCGGCUAACUACGUG
rnacentral:rRNA from 1 species